AACGAACGCUGGCGGCGUGCUUAACACAUGCAAGUCGAACGCGAAAGGGACUUCGGUCCUGAGUAAAGUGGCGCACGGGUGAGUAACGCGUAGAUAACCUGUCUUCAUGUCUGGAAUAAUACGCCGAAAGGGGUACUAAUACCGGAUAUUCUUGCUUUUCAUAAGUUAUGCAAGCAAAGGUGGCCUCUGCAUAUGCUACUGCAUGAAGAGGGGUCUGCGUACCAUUAGCUAGUAGGUGGGGUAAUGGCCUACCUAGGCGACGAUGGUUAGCGGGUCUGAGAGGAUGAUCCGCCACACUGGCACUGGAACACGGGCCAGACUCCUACGGGAGGCAGCAGUGAGGAAUAUUGCGCAAUGGGGGAAACCCUGACGCAGCGACGCCGCGUGAGUGAAGGAAGGCCUUCGGGUCGUAAAGCUCUGUCAAGAGGAAAGAAGUGUACAAUGGCUAAUACCUGUUGUAUUUGACGGUACCCCUAAAGGAAGCACCGGCUAACUCCGUGCCAGCAGCUGC
rnacentral:rRNA from 1 species